GAUGAACGCUGGCGGCGUGCUUAACACAUGCAAGUCGAACGAUGAACCUCACUUGUGGGGGGAUUAGUGGCGAACGGGUGAGUAACACGUGAGUAACCUGCCCUUGACUCUGGGAUAAGCCUGGGAAACUGGGUCUAAUACCGGAUAUGACUUGUCACCGCAUGGUGGUGGGUGGAAAGCUUUUGUGGUUUUGGAUGGACUCGCGGCCUAUCAGCUUGUUGGUGGGGUAAUGGCCUACCAAGGCGACGACGGGUAGCCGGCCUGAGAGGGUGACCGGCCACACUGGGACUGAGACACGGCCCAGACUCCUACGGGAGGCAGCAGUGGGGAAUAUUGCACAAUGGGCGCAAGCCUGAUGCAGCGACGCCGCGUGAGGGAUGAAGGCCU
rnacentral:rRNA from 1 species